UACGGAGGGGGCUAGCGUUGUUCGGAAUUACUGGGCGUAAAGCGCACGUAGGCGGCUUUGUAAGUUAGAGGUGAAAGCCCGGAGCUCAACUCCGGAAUUGCCUUUAAGACUGCAUCGCUAGAAUUGUGGAGAGGUGAGUGGAGUUCCGAGUGUAGAGGUGAAAUUCGUAGAUAUUCGGAAGAACACCAGUGGCGAAGGCGGCUCACUGGUCCGGUACUGACGCUGAGGUGCGAAAGCGUGGGGAGCAAACAGG
rnacentral:rRNA from 1 species